GGAAAGAAAAGAAAAGGAGGACUAAUUUUUUUCCCCUUCUUACCAUUUUUUCCCCCUUAAACCCACCUCUUACACAUCUCAAAAACUAGAAAACCUUUUUACUGCAAGAGACCAUGUGACUAACGCAGUCAAUGCUUGUGAAAGAUAACCAGAAAAAUGACCCUAUUUGUCAAGAUGGUUAACAUCUCUUAUCCCAGAUUCUGCACUUCUACUGGAGCUAUCCUGAGCCUCUACAAAAUUACAUGAAGAAUUCUCAGGUAACUCUGAAAAUCAUACUGUUCAACUUCCAUACACUGAAGACAGACUUAGGAGGCAUCAACCCAGAACAAAAGACACAGCAUAAUGAAAGCUGUAGCAGAUAAAAUACUGAGACAUGUGAGCAGAUUUCUGACAAGCUGUACCUGCAGCUACAAAAAUAACUGCAAUUCCAGUUCCCUUUGUCCGUCACCGAUGAGCUUCAUGCCAUCCAGACCACACGUGAAGGGAAGAUGCUAAAUUGAAGCUGUACUGUCACUGAAAAUGAACUGCACAUUCCUCAGCACCCACCCCCCAACAAAAAAAAAAAAAAAAAAAGGGAAAGGAGAAUAGAGAAUACAGAAACCUUUCAAUGCCAAAGCAUUUACGCCUUGGAAGAACUACACCUGAAAGGACUCAUUAAG